rnacentral:tRNA from 1 species
GGGAGCGGAUGAAUUCCGGUGGAUUCUGCGGACUUCAAAUCCGUUUAUGGCUAUCCUUCGAUAGGCAUGGAGGGUUCGACUCCCUUGCGCUCCCGCCA